AAGCAGUAUCAACAAGUCCAGACAUCGAGCUGAUGACAGUCGAAGAUGUUCAGAAUCUGAUGAUAAGAGAACGUUUUCCUGAAUCAGUACGAAAGACAUUUGAGGAAAACGGCAUUGACGGCAAAUACUUCGUGAACCUUUUGGAAGACGGCGUUUUGGAUGCGCUAGGUAUUACGUCACCUCUUGAUAAAAUGAAGAUAAAAACAAUUCUGGAAAAACGUUCGAAAUAAUCCAGUUGACUACUUAAUUGAUGGUCACAUUUCGGGUUGACUCUGUUUAAACCUUUAACAAUGUACACGGCAUGGAACAUGAACUCUGAAAGUACCAGAGUAUUAAGUGAUAUUGAAUGUCAUUCAUCACAUCAAAGUAAUAUUUGUUUUAA